UCACGGAGACAACCAAACUCCCCUUUCUCUUCCGUUCUCUCUACCGGCUGUGAUUUGGAUAAGCGCGGCCAUGGGUUGGGCAAGGGAGAGCACUGAAUAACGCGGCAAGCUGCUCAAGCUCGUCAUGUACGGCGGAUAGCGGGUAGCGGCCGUGGCGACGGCGCUGGAGGUUGGUGGCGCGAAGCAGGCGGUGACGCAGCUGACAGAGGGCGCACUGGUUAACAGAUUUCCUGGACGAACUCGUGCGUCCUCAUCUUCCAAGCUGGUUGUACCAAAUCGAGUAGGAUGCUUGUAAGUGCAUAGUCUGGAGGCCAGCUCUGACUGAGGUGUGGGCCGCGCGUUCGAGCUACUGAUGUUGCGCCGGCACCAGCGAGGCCGCAUCUCGCGUCACUAAUCUGGAAAGGCGGAUGCUGGUCACCGGGCAGGUGACGGGUGCCGGGACAGAGAACUUUGGCGCUGCAUUGAAAGGCUUGUUGUUUCUUUUUCGUCCUAGCCUGAGGAAGAGCAACAGAUUUCUCAUCCAAUGAGCAGUGAGGGGUCUCACAGAGUAUGGAGUGCUGAUUCCUGAAUUUCCUGGACAAAAUCAUCCUACUGGGUUUAAGCUUGUUGGUGCCGGGUCAUCAAUGCCAGGGCGGGGUAUGGCAGAAAAUAAUGGCUGGCUGAUGGAGAAUGGUUGAAUCUGAGGCAAAUGAUAAAGGGGGCAUUGUGUCUAUGGUCCUUAAGAGGUAUGGGGUAACAGAGGCAGAGUCAUAUGAUGAGAUCGCGCGAUAAAUAAAUAGCAGCAAAAUGUGAGCAGCGUGUGCAGGCGGCCUAUGAGUUGUUGCCCUCCUACCAAAUGUCUUAGAGACUCAUUAUCCAGGAAGAGUGAUGAUAGCAUAUAUUGGAACUAAUGCAGCACCCGAUUUGUCCGGUUUCAUGUCUCACUCCACUGGGUGCCAAAAUGUCGUAGGAGCGUACUGGAUGCAUCGUGUCUUUGAUCCUAUGGCAUGAUGGAAAGCAUAUUGGAUAGGCUGCAGUCUUGCUUUCGAUCUACCCGGCGUGCGAGCGGCGCUUGUGUGUUCAAAGCCAUCAUGUUUCUUCGCAUGCAUUGGGAGUUUCUCUCUCCUUCAUGUGUACGACGUCCUUGUGUAAUUGUGUGUGUAGAUGCCUAUGGUUGCAAGAAAUCAAUCAGGCCAUAUGAAAAUCAAGUAGAAAAUAAUUGAUCAAAUUGUACUUCGCAUGUGUGAAACCCAUGUGUCAAUCAGGCGAAGGCUUCAAAGCAGUCUUUUGGAAUCUCCCUUCUCCCCGCAAGUUCACAUCCUCAACCAAUGAUUAGAUUACUUUGGUUCUCUUUUUUCUGAAAAGAAGGAUUAGUACGGUUCCAUAUCUGAUUCCGAUUGUAACUAAAAGAAUUGUUUAUUGGUAAAUAAAGAACGGGUUGUUUAUUCCUAUACAUGCAUGUUUGCCUCCAUGGUCAUGAAUGA